rnacentral:rRNA from 1 species
GUGCCAGCAGCCGCGGUAAUACGAAGGGGGCAAGCGUUGUUCGGAAUUACUGGGCGUAAAGGGCGCGUAGGCGGCCGAUCAAGUCAGGCGUGAAAUUCCCGGGCUCAACCUGGGGGCUGCGCUUGAUACUGAUUGGCUUGAAUGCGGGAGAGGAUAGUGGAAUUCCCAGUGUAGAGGUGAAAUUCGUAGAUAUUGGGAAGAACACCAGUGGCGAAGGCGGCUAUCUGGCCCGUUAUUGACGCUGAGGCGCGAAAGCGUGGGGAGCAAACAGGAUUAGAUACCCGUGUAGUCC